UACGUAGGGGGCGAGCGUUGUCCGGAAUGACUGGGCGUAAAGGGUGUGUAGGCGGUUUAUUAAGUUAGAAGUGAAAUACCUAGGGCUUAACCCAGGUGCUGCUUCUAAAACUGAUAGACUUGAGUGCAGUAGAGGAAAGUGGAAUUCCUAGUGUAGCGGUGGAAUGCGCAGAUAUCGGGAAGAACACCGAUGGCGAAGGCAGCUCUCUGGGCCGUCACUGACGCUGAGGCGCGAAAGCUGGGGGAGCGAACAGG
rnacentral:rRNA from 1 species